rnacentral:lncRNA from 1 species
UCAUCGUGUUUUCUUCUUCGCAUAAACCCUAACACGCGUAACAGUCUAUUACAUUUUCAAAAUUGCAAGACAUGAGAGCAUUGAAAAACAAACUCCAAUUCUUUGAUUCCUACUUUCUUUCACACUCUCACCGUGUUUUUCAUCUUUCUACCUUCAACAAAACAACACAACAACUUUCCAACUCAGACAUUGACGCCUCGCGUUCACUUUU